GUCCACGCCCUAAACGUUGAAUACUCGACCUUAGCGAUAUACAGUUAGGGUCCAAGCGAAGCGUUAAGUAUUCCACCUGGGAAGUACGUUCGCAAGAAUGAACUCAAAGGAAUUGACGGGGCCCGCACAAGCGGAGGAGCAUGUGGUUUAAUUCGAUGAUACGCGAGGAACCUUACCUAGACUUGACAUCCCUGGCAAAGCUAUAGAAAUAUAGUGGAGGUUAUCCGGGUGACAGGUGGUGCAUGGUUGUCGU
rnacentral:rRNA from 1 species